CUCCUGCAGUGCAUGAUCGUACUGAUGAUGGCCGUGUCCGGCACACACGCAUUGGUGGCAUGGAGCAAGUCUUCAGAUAACGCUGGUGGCUGCACGCUGCCGGAUGGUCGCAAGAUCAACCACCAGCAAGUUGUCCGCCACCCAGAAAUGUGUGGCAACUAUGUGUGCUGGGGCAAAGACGGAACGAGCGCGUUAAACUAUUGCCAAGCCGCAGUUCCGUUCCAGGAGUGCGAGGAAACUGGCAUUCAUACGUUAGGCAAUUUCCCCGAUUGCUGUUGGCAAUGCGUCGCGUACACCAGCUGUUGACUUUUAAUUAUUAAACAUUAAAUACAAAUUGGGAAGAUGCCCAUUGGUCUUCAAAUAUAAA